UACGGGGGGGGCAAGCGUUGUUCGGAAUUACUGGGCGUAAAGGGCUCGUAGGCGGCCAACUAAGUCGGAUGUGAAAUCCCCAGGCUUAACCUGGGAACUGCAUCCGAUACUGGAUGGCUUGAAUCCGGGAGAGGGAUGCGGAAUUCCAGGUGUAGCGGUGAAAUGCGUAGAUAUCUGGAGGAACACCGGUGGCGAAGGCGGCAUCCUGGACCGGCAUUGACGCUGAGGAGCGAAAGCCAGGGGGAGCAAACGGG
rnacentral:rRNA from 1 species